AGCAGCGUGGCUCAGUGGAAAGAGCACAGGCUUCGGAGUCAGAGGUCACAGGUUCGAAUCCCGCCUCUGCCA
rnacentral:tRNA from 1 species